GGGGAGGGGGGGGCUAAUACGUGCAAGUCGAACGCACAGCGAAAGGUGCUUGCACCUUUCAGUGAGUGGCGAACGGGUGAGUAACACGUGGACAACCUGCCUCAAGGCUGGGGAUAACAUUUGGAAACAGAUGCUAAUACCGAAUGAAACUUAGUGUCGCAUGAUACGAAGUUAAAAGGCGCUUUGGCGUCACCUAGAGAUGGAUCCGCGGUGCAUUAGUUAGUUGGUGGGGUAAAGGCCUACCAAGACAAUGAUGCAUAGCCGAGUUGAGAGACUGAUCGGCCACAUUGGGACUGAGACACGGCCCAAACUCCUACGGGAGGCUGCAGUAGGGAAUCUUCCACAGUGGGCGAAAGCCUGAUGGAGCAACGCCGCGUGUGUGAUGAAGGCUUUCGGGUCGUAAAGCACUGUUGUAUGGGAAGAACAGCUAGAAUAGGGAAUGAUUUUAGUUUGACGGUACCAUACCAGAAGGGGACGGCUAAAUACGUGCCAGCAGCCGCGGUAAUACGUAUGUCCCGAGCGUUAUCCGGAUUUAUUGGGCGUAAAGCGAGCGCAGACGGUUGAUUAAGUCUGAUGUGAAAGCCCGGAGCUCAACUCCGGAAUGGCAUUGGAAACUGGUUAACUUGAGUGCAGUAGAGGUAAGUGGAACUCCAUGUGUAGCGGUGGAAUGCGUAGAUAUAUGGAAGAACACCAGUGGCGAAGGCGGCUUACUGGACUGUAACUGACGUUGAGGCUCGAAAGUGUGGGUAGCAAACAGGAUUAGAUACCCUGGUAGUCCACACCGUACACGAUGAACACUAGGUGUUAGGAGGUUUCCGCCUCUUAGUGCCGAAGCUAACGCAUUAAGUGUUCCGCCUGGAGAGUACGACCGCAAGGUUGAAACUCAAAGGAAUUGACGGGGACCCGCACAAGCGGUGGAGCAUGUGUUUUAUUUCAAAGCAACGCGAAAAACCUUACCAGGUCUUGACAUCCUUUGAAGCUUUUAAAAGAUAGAAGUGUUCUCUUCGGAAACAAAGUGACAGGUGGUGCAUGGUCGUCAUCACCUCGUGUCGUGAGAUGUUGGGUUAAGUCCCGCAACGAGCCCACCCUUAUUGUUAGUUGCCGGCAUUCAAAGGGCCCCUCUAAGGAGACUGCCGGUGAAAAACCGGAAGAAAGGCGGGGAACAAGUCCGAAUCUCAUGCCCCUUAAGACCGGGCCAACCCCGGGGUAAAAAGGGCCUAAAAAAAAAGUUGCCCACCCCGGGGGUGGCCCAUUCCUUUAAGGGCCCCCCAAUUCCGAAUUGGGCCCCCCCCCCCCAAACUUGGAACCCGCAACCCUUUUAAACCGGAAACCCCCCCCCGGGGAAAAAAUUUCCCCGGCUUUUAACCCCCCCCCUCCCCCGGGGGGUUUUUAAUGCCCAAAGCCGGUGGCCUAACCUUUAGGAAGGAGCCGUUCUAAGGCAGACCAGGGGCC
rnacentral:rRNA from 1 species